AUUUGAGGUAACUAAGAGUAGAACAAUUAAAAAACAAAACAAUAAUAAAAAUGUAUUAUAUAUAUUUAUAUGUAUUAUAUUUUUUCCUCCUUUAGAUGUAGGUUGGCACAAUUUGCUUGCAGUUACCAAAAUAACUUUAGCUUAAUGAAGCAGUAUUGGUGCAUAUACCAUGCCUCUGCAGUCUCACUGAUCAAUUCUCUGCCAUUUAGGAGUUAAAUCACUUUGUUUAUGCAGCCCUUGGCACACCUCCCUGCAUGUGACUUGCACAGCCCUCAUAAACCGUUCCAGUAAAAAGUCAUCUAAUGUGUACACUUUCUUUAUUGCAAAUUCUGUUUAAUUGAGCAUGUCUUCUCUGUUAUUUGCUUGCUAGAUCCUGCAGGAGCCUCCUUUAUGCAAUUAAAUAUUAAUUUACAGAGCAGGAUAUAAAAACCAUAUAAAACCAUUUUGUUUCCAUGCACGUUGUGUCAGUCACAGUCAGUGGAGGUGAGGCUAGGGAUUCAUAAACAGAAACAAAGUGAUUUAACUCCUAAAUGGAGAAUUGAGCAGUGAGACUUCAGAGGCAU